rnacentral:rRNA from 1 species
GACGUAGGGCGCGAGCGUUGUCCGGAUUUAUUGGGCGUAAAGAGCUCGUAGGCGGCUUGUCGCGUCGUCCGUGAAAACCCACGGCUUAACUGUGGGCUUGCGGUCGAUACGGGCAGGCUAGAGUUCGGUAGGGGAGACUGGAAUUCCUGGUGUAGCGGUGAAAUGCGCAGAUAUCAGGAGGAACACCGGUGGCGAAGGCGGGUCUCUGGGCCGAUACUGACGCUGAGACGCGAAAGCUAGGGGAGCGAACAGG